rnacentral:rRNA from 1 species
UACAGAGGUCUCAAGCGUUGUUCGGAUUCAUUGGGCGUAAAGGGUACGUAGGUGGCAUGGUAAGUCGGAUGUGAAAUCCCGGGGCUCAACCCCGGAACUGCAUUCGAUACUGCUGCGCUAGAGUACUGGAGAGGAGAUUGGAAUUUACGGUGUAGCAGUGAAAUGCGUAGAUAUCGUAAGGAAGACCAGUGGCGAAGGCGGAUCUCUGGACAGUUACUGACACUGAGGCACGAAGGCCAGGGGAGCAAACGGG